rnacentral:rRNA from 1 species
AGCGAACGCUGGCGGCAGGCUUAACACAUGCAAGUCGAACGGGCGUAGCAAUACGUCAGUGGCAGACGGGUGAGUAACACGUGGGAACGUACCUUUUGGUUCGGAACAACUGAGGGAAACUUCAGCUAAUACCGGAUAAGCCCUUACGGGGAAAGAUUUAUCGCCGAAAGAUCGGCCCGCGUCUGAUUAGCUAGUUGGUGAGGUAAUGGCUCACCAAGGCGACGAUCAAUAGCUGGUCUGAGAGGAUGAUCAGCCACAUUGGGACUGAGACACGGCCCAAACUCCUACGGGAGGCAGCAGUGGGGAAUAUUGGACAAUGGGCGAAAGCCUGAUCCAGCCAUGCCGCGUGAGUGAUGAAGGCCCUAGGGUUGUAAAGCUCUUUUGUGCGGGAAGAUAAUGACGGUACCGCAAGAAUAAGCCCCGGCUAACUUCGUGCCAGCCGCCGCCGUAA